rnacentral:misc_RNA from 1 species
GUGAAAAUGAAGUAGAUCUAAUUGUCCACUCCAGGCAUCUGCGGGAUGUUGUUGCCCUUGCGAUUCGAGGCUUUGCUCAACGAUUCAGUAAUACAUCUCUCAAUUCUCUCUUCAAAAUAGGGACAUAGCUAUGGUAAAGUAAUGUAAAGUGAACUGUUUAGCAAAAUAUAUACAUUUGUAGGUUCUUAGUUCAAUUAGUCAACUCUUACUCCUACAUUUAGCUCCUCUAUUUUGCUUGUCAUUAUUUUUGGUAAUUUUCAUUGUUUGCAAGAUAUGUUGUGCAGUGCUGGAAAGGCUGGAGGUGUCAAAAAUCUGUAUAUUAGUAUAUCAAUGAUGAUACUGAGUUGUCUGAGAAAUGUUUGGCCUCCAACCUUUAUUCAUGUUUCGUUAGUUGCUUAAACCUUUCCAAUUUGUUCAAUUGGGGGAGGGGGGUGGCAGAAAAGGUCUAAUCUUUGUAUACAGAACACUAAAGAAAACCAAAG